AGUGAACGCUGGCGGUAGGCCUAACACAUGCAAGUCGAACGGCAGCACAGUAAGAGCUUGCUCUUACGGGUGGCGAGUGGCGGACGGGUGAGGAAUACAUCGGAAUCUACUUUUUCGUGGGGGAUAACGUAGGGAAACUUACGCUAAUACCGCAUACGACCUACGGGUGAAAGCAGGGGAUCUUCGGACCUUGCGCGAUUGAAUGAGCCGAUGUCGGAUUAGCUAGUUGGCGGGGUAAAGGCCCACCAAGGCGACGAUCCGUAGCUGGUCUGAGAGGAUGAUCAGCCACACUGGAACGGAGACACGGCCCAGACUCCUACGGGAGGCAGCAGGGGGAAAUAUUGGACAAGGGACGCAAGCCUGAUCCAGCCAAACCGCGUGGGUGAAGAAGGCCUUCGGGUUGUAAAGCCCUUUUGUUGGGAAAGAAAAGCAGCAGGUUAAUACCCCGCUGUUCUGACGGAACCCAAGGAAUAAGCACCGGCUAACUUCGU
rnacentral:rRNA from 1 species